GUGCAUGUGAUGUGAAGAUUUUGAUAUGAGUAAUACUGUGACACUGUAAACGCUUUCUGAUGCA